rfam:Ricinus communis cultivar Hale ctg_1100012361834, whole genome shotgun sequence.
AAACCCUGUUGUGGGCAACAUCUCAAUAAGUCCUUGUACCUCUCCUAUGCAUCAUAAAUGCUCUCAUCAUCAAACUGCACAAACAAAGAAAUAUCAUUACGUAUCUU